rnacentral:rRNA from 1 species
UACGGAGGGUGCGAGCGUUAUUCGGAAUUACUGGGCGUAAAGCGUGCGCAGGCGGUUAUACAAGACAGGCGUGAAAUCCCCGGGCUUAACCUGGGAAUGGCGUCUGUGACUGUAUAGCUAGAGUGUGUCAGAGGGGGGUGGAAUUCCACGUGUAGCAGUGAAAUGCGUAGAUAUGUGGAGGAACACCGAUGGCGAAGGCAGCCCCCUGGGCCUGUACUGACGCUCAUGCAUGAAAGCGUGGGGAGCAAACAGG